GGGAGCCGUAUGCGGGAAAUCUGCACGUACGGUUCUUAGAGGAGUUUAUUUCAAC
rnacentral:ncRNA from 2 species